rnacentral:tRNA from 1 species
UCCCUGGUGGCUCAGACGGUAAAGCAUCUGUCUACAAUGCAGGAGACCCAGGUUUGAUCCCUGGGUUGGGAA